rnacentral:lncRNA from 1 species
UACAAACCGGACGAUGGGUUAGUCGUUGUUCAUACUCAAAUUCGAACCGGGUACUCAAAUGGGUUAGUCGUUGUUGAUGCUCAAAUUCGAACCGGGUACCAGAACUUUCUGGAGCCAUCCAGGCACCUCGGCGGUGGCGAUUUCGCAACUCAACCAUCUCUCAGGUUCCUGCAGGGAAAAAUGAACCCAUUCUUCAACGCUGGAGCUGGAGGCCAGGUCUAUGGUUUCUCUGCUAUCGUUUGCAGUUAAGUAGUCCUGAGUGAGCUCAUGCUUUCAUUGCAUUGAACGAACGAAAACCACCGUUGCUGCACAUUUAUUCUGCGGACAGGAGCCGGAUUUGUUGGGAUCCUUUCCCUCAACUGGCCGACCUCACAUUUGUC